GUUUCCGUAGGUGAACCUGCAGCUGGAUCACUA
rnacentral:rRNA from 1 species